AUUGAACGCUAGCGGCAGGCUUUACACAUGCAAGUCGAACGAGUGGCGGACGGGUGAGUAAUAUAUGGGAAACUGCCUGAUGGCGGGGGAUAACUACUGGAAACGGUAGCUAAUACCGCAUACCAUCAGAUGUGCCCAGAUGGGAUUAGCUAGUUGGUGGGGUAACGGCUCACCAAGGCGACGAUCCCUAGCUGGUCUGAGAGGAGGACCAGCCACACUGGGACUGAGACACGGGCCAGACUCCUACGGUAGGCAGCAGUGGGGAAUAUUGGACAAUGGGCGCAAGCCUGAUGCAGCCAUGCCGCGUGUAUGAAGAAGGCCUUCGGGUUGUAAAGUACUUUCAGCGGGGAGGCGUUACCCGCAGAAUAAGCACCGGCUAACUCCGUGCCAGCCGCCGCGGUAAUUC
rnacentral:rRNA from 1 species